GACGAACGCUGGCGGCGUGCUUAACACAUGCAAGUCGAACGGGAAGGCCCGGCUUUUGUGGGGUGCGCGAGUGUCGCACGGGAGAGUCUCACGUGGGUAACCGGCCCUUAGCUUGAAGCGACCUCCAGGACACUGUGGCUAAUACCGGAAAGGGGCGACUGCGCCCGGGUGGGGGCUGGAAAGUUUCGGCGGUUGGGGAUGGGCACGAGGCUUAUCAGCUUGUUGGUGGGGUAGUGGCUGACCAAGGCUUUGACGGGUAGCCGGCCGGACAGGGUGACCGGCCACAAUGGGACGGCGAUACGGCCGAGACGCCUACGGGAGGCAGCAGUGGUGAAUAUUGCUCCAUGGGGGGAGGCAGGAUGCAGCAACGCCGCGGGCGGGAUGACGGCCUUCGGGUUGUAAACCGCUUCCGCCUGUGACGAAGCGUGAGUGACGGUAACGGGUAAAGAAGCACCGGCUAACUACGUG
rnacentral:rRNA from 1 species